rnacentral:lncRNA from 1 species
AUCAUCACCAUGGUACUUACAACAUCCUGGGCAGCAGAGACCCAAAAACAGUAGAUGCUUUUUUCUCCUGUAUCAGUCCUUUCAUAUUAGUGUUGAUCAACCUGUGCCUCACUUGACAGUGGUCCAAAGAGCUGACUUCAACAGAGGAAACAAGAACGAGGAGGAUAAUCACUGACAAGCCAGAGAUCAUUGCUUAUUUUUACUGAGCUUGUUCUAUAUAUUCCACAAGUGAAGAGUCAUACAGAAGCUACACAGACGAAGAUUCAAGCCAUAAACAAACACAUGGGAUUCAGUGAGCUCUGAGAUUGUCUUUUACAGUUAGACUCUCCUAAUCA